UACGUAGGGUGCGAGCGUUAAUCGGAAUUACUGGGCGUAAAGCGUGUGCAGGCGGGCUAGCAAGUGGUGUAUGAAAGCUCCCGGCUCAACCGGGAAGGGUUAUGCCAGACUGCUAGUCUUGAGUGCGAGAGAGGAAUGUGGAAUUCCGGGUGUAGUGGUGAAAUGCGUAGAGAUCGUAAGGAAGACCAGUGGCGAAGGCGGGUCUCUGGACAGUUCCUGACGCUGAGGCACGAAGGUCAGGGGAGCAAACGGG
rnacentral:rRNA from 1 species